rnacentral:rRNA from 1 species
UACAGAGGUCUCAAGCGUUGUUCGGAUUCAUUGGGCGUAAAGGGUGCGUAGGCGGCGCGGUAAGUCGGGUGUGAAAUCUCGGGGCUCAACCCCGAAACUGCAUUUGAUACUGCCUUGCUCGAGUACUGGAGAGGAGAUUGGAAUUUACGGUGUAGCAGUGAAAUGCGUAGAUAUCGUAAGGAAGACCAGUGGCGAAGGCGAAUCUCUGGACAGUUACUGACACUGAGGCACGAAGGCCAGGGGAGCAAACGGG